rnacentral:rRNA from 1 species
CCCAGUGAACUGCAUGGUUCACUGGUAAAAGGCGGUUUCGGCCGUCACUCAUGGAUGGGCCCGCGGCGCAUUAGCUAGUUGGUAAGGUAACGGCUUACCAAGGCAACGAUGCGUAGCCGACCUGAGAGGGUGAUCGGCCACACUGGGACUGAGACACGGCCCAGACUCCUACGGGAGGCAGCAGUAGGGAAUCUUCCGCAAUGGACGAAAGUCUGACGGAGCAACGCCGCGUGAACGAUGAAGGUCUUCGGAUCGUAAAGUUCUGUUGUUAGGGAAGAACAAGUACCAGAGGAAAUGCUGGUACCUUGACGGUACCUAACCAGAAAGCCACGGCUAACUACGUGCCAGCAGCCGCGGUAAUACGUAGGUGGCAAGCGUUGUCCGGAAUUAUUGGGCGUAAAGCGCGCGCAGGCGGUUUCUUAAGUCUGAUGUGAAAGCCCACAGCUCAACUGUGGAGGGCCAUUGGAAACUGGGGAACUUGAGUACAGAAGAGGAGAGUGGAAUUCCACGUGUAGCGGUGAAAUGCGUAGAUAUGUGGAGGAACACCAGUGGCGAAGGCGACUCUCUGGUCUGUAACUGACGCUGAGGCGCGAAAGCGUGGGUAGCAAACA